GAAAUGGUCAGACAGGCCACUUCCUGUAAAGGAAUCUCUCAGGUUUUGACCUGCCAUUUGAGUUCUGUUAUACUCACAGACACCAUUCAAACAGUUGUAGAAACUUUAGGGUGUUUUCUAUCCAUAUGUAAUAAGUAUAUGCAUAUUCUAGUUACUGGGUAGGAGUGGUAACCAGAUUAAAUCGGGUAUGUUUUUUAUCCAGCCGUGUCAAUACUGCCCCCUAGCCCUAACAGGUUUUAAUGGAGCUUUAACCAGUAGGCCACUGGACUAAUGGAGCUUUAACCAGUAGGCCACUGGACUAAUGGAGCUUUAACUAGUAGGCCACUGGAUUAAUGGAGCUUUAACAAGUAGGCCACUGGACUAAUGGAGCUUUAACUAGUAGGCCACUGGACUAAUGGAGCUUUAACUAAUAGGCCACUGGAUUAAUGGCGCUUUAACUAGCAGGCCACUGGACUAAUGGAGCUUUAACUAGUAGACUAAUGGAGCUGCAAAUUAGACGAGGAAUCAGAAACAGAUUAAUUAGUAAAUGUAUUGUUUUUUCAUGCACUUACCAACUCAAAUGUGGUGUGGUGGCCUUCUGCUAAACUGUUAGAAAUACAAGGUAAAGAAUUCCAGUGAAAUACUAGGUGUGUGUUUUCUGUGCUUCCUGUAGUCUAAGCUGUAAGGGAGAAGAAGAUAAUUCACAUGGUGGAGGUGGGGAAACUGUCCAAGUAAGCUAAGAGUAAAACAGAGAGAAAGUCAUGUUAAAAUUUGCAAUUUCUAUUUAAAUCAAGCUAUUUGUAUUUUCAAUUGGGACCUAAUAUAUUUCAGUUCCAAAUAAUGUGAUAUUUCAUAGAUAAAUGUUAUGUUCCAAAUCGCAUACUUGUGUUCUAUGUAGAGCGUAUAGAAGUCAACUGUCAUUUUUCAAGUAUGAUUCCAAACCUAAGAACGCGAAACGGCAAGUAUGUACUAGGUUUGUGGGAAGUUCUAUUAGCAUCCUUAUAGGUCUGGAAAACAAAGCACACAUGGGAGCAUACAUUUUCAUUCCCUUCGCCGGGAAGGCUAUCCCAUGACACCUUGCAAAACAGCGAAAACUCCCCAAAAUUCUGAAUUGAUGGUGGACUGAAGUCCCUGCUUGGGAGAAAAUGUUCCAGAGGAAUAAGGAAUAACAUUGUAAAAUGUAAGUAUUACGUUUAUUUAUUCACAAAAUUGUGUUAAAAUGUUCAACAAAUGACUUUCAUAUGAAUUUUGAAUUCAAAUGUUGACUCACUGCUGUUUAUCAGCCCGCUACCCACGCUAAGUUAGCUAGCAGGCAAUCUCAUCCUGGUUAUCAGCUGUUUUAGGGAUGACAAACUAAUCGUAAAAUCAGCGGUGUCAAUUGUGAAAACCCAGACAGUUUUUUUUUAAUCCUGAACUGGUGAAUUUUCUAGCCAGCUAAUGAGAAAUGUAGCAAAUUGUUUGUUUUUUUCACAUUUGUUUUCAGGGACAGAUGGCAACUGAUGUGUUAAUUUCACUUCAUGGCUUUGGCAGGACAAAAUAGUCCUGGCCGACUGGUUUGGAGGUUGAAGCACAUCCCACCCCAUCACUCAGAUAGAUGUAAAGAAGUUGAGAACCUCCCAUCCACCAGGAAAAUCACCCUAUCCCAGGAGUUUAUUCAGCAGUAUAGCUUUUUCAAUGUUCAUCUCUUUCAUGUCCCCUCACUUGGGGAUGUUAAAAUGUUUUCUAUUCUACUGAGCCAUUUACUUCAUGUUCAUAUUAUCUUUUAUUUCUUAUUGUUGUUGCAUUGUUGAGAAGGAACCUGCAAGUAAGCAUUUCAUUGGACCAUGUUUAUCCUGUACAUACGACCAAUACAACUUUUGUACAAUGGACUGUGUUCUAAGGAUUCAUGCAGAUAAAGGUGAACCAAUAAAAGGGUUCAUAUUAAUUAAAAAUGACAAGUGUUGAUGUUUCCACACAGUUCUAGGUUUGAGCCUUUCUCAUCUGGGGGCUCCGGUUCAUCUGUCUAAGAGAAAGGCAUUAAUAAUAUUACAAUGGUGUAUUAUUUUAAUAUAUAUAUUUCUGUUUGAUAUGCAUGCAUAUAAACUCAGCAAAAAAAGAAACGUC